rnacentral:rRNA from 1 species
UGGGGAAUUUUGGACAAUGGGCGAAAGCCUGAUCCAGCAAUGCCGCGUGUGUGAAGAAGGCCUUCGGGUUGUAAAGCACUUUUGUCCGGAAAGAAAUCCUUGGCUCUAAUACAGUCGGGGGAUGACGGUACCGGAAGAAUAAGCACCGGCUAACUACGUGCCAGCGGCCGCGGUAAUACGUAGGGUGCAAGCGUUAAUCGGAAUUACUGGGCGUAAAGCGUGCGCAGGCGGUUUGCUAAGACCGAUGUGAAAUCCCCGGGCUCAACCUGGGAACUGCAUUGGUGACUGGCAGGCUAGAGUAUGGCAGAGGGGGGUAGAAUUCCACGUGUAGCAGUGAAAUGCGUAGAGAUGUGGAGGAAUACCGAUGGCGAAGGCAGCCCCCUGGGCCAAUACUGACGCUCAUGCACGAAAGCGUGGGGAGCAAACAGGAUUAGAUACCCUGGUAGUCCACGCCCUAAACGAUGUCAACUAGUUGUUGGGGAUUCAUUUCCUAGUAACGUAGCUAACGCGUGAAGUUGACCGCCUGGGGAGUACGGUCGCAAGAUUAAAACUUAAAGGAAUUGACGGGGUCAUAGCUGUUUCCU